rnacentral:tRNA from 1 species
GGGUCGUUAGCUCAGUCGGUAGAGCACCGGCCUUUUAAGCCGUUGGUCCUGGGUUCGAGCCCCAGACGACCCACCA